UGGAUUCGACGGCUGGGAUGUUAUCUUUGGACUUGGAUUUCGAAUCGCUGACUUGUUUUGACCAUUUUUGAACCAUGAUACUGGUUGUAAUCCGCGAUCAUUCAGUCGAAAUGUUGGUUUCCAUGUCAUCGAGCCAGUCAGGAGUGGUCGUUGUUGGCGCAACAUGCUGUAAGAAUUUUGGCACUGUUUCGUUCAGUGGUCCUAUAAAGCUAUACCUGGAAGCGUAAGGAGAACAUUUGUAUUAUUAUGAAGUUGCUGGAGUUGCUUUGGAGAGCAUUAGAUACGGGUAUAGGAUGAUGUGGUGCCCAAUUUAUCUCAAUCUGUACCAACUCCAACGUGGAACCAAUUUGAAGAUUGUUCUUGGAAAAGAGAAAACGAUUGAUUAUCACCUGAUUGAAGUAAUUCUACAAUAUUACGAGGAAGAGAAAUUAGCUUGUAUAGUUUUGACGAGUAAUGUGACAUAUUGUCCAAUUUUCAAUUCCUAUGAACUCCAACGUGAAACAAAUUCAAGAUCGCCCUCGGAGAGUCAGAAUGGAGAAAACGAUUGGCUAUUGCCAAACUUAAGUCAUUUAACGUUCACAAGAUAGGAAGAGAAAUUCGCUUGUAUGGUUUUGGCAAACAGUGUACCAUAUUGUCCAAUUCUUAGUUCCUAUGAACUCCGGACGUGAAACAAAUUUGAAGAUCUAUCUCAUGAUGGAGAAAAUAAUUGGUUUUUACAAGUAUUAUCAACAAAGUGGUGUACCCAACUAAAGUCAUUUUUCUGGAUUGAAGUCAUUCUUUGUUUAUGAGAUCUUACUUUGGUUGUAAUUGUUGAGAGGAAUAUCUACAUACUCACCUACCCUGCACUGUAAGAAAUCCUGAGAAUUUUCAAUUUGAAGUUGCAUAAAAGGUAGGAAUGGAGCAGAAAGACUUCUACAUCCAGGUUGUUUUUAAAUUAGGUACUGGAGGGUUAAGAAUGUAAUUUAUAAGACUGUCACUAGUUUUUAAGCCAAGUGUUGAGAUAUGGGAGAUUGGUAAUUUAAAAUGAAUACACAAUACGCUUACACAGUCUAAAACAACACUUCUGGUGUGCUAAUCAUCUGCCAGUUGAAGAAAAUUACAGCCUGAAUAAGUACUCAAAUUAUUGUUUAAUCCAAUGCCAACCCAUAUUUAAAAUGAAUUUGAUUGAAUUUUUUGUUGAUGUAUUGAACAUAAAUCAAUAUGAUACUUGAUAAUUGGUCAAAGGCUAAUAGCAUAAGUUGAAAAUUUAGCAGAAUUGCUUUGUAAUGAGGGAGGCAGGAUUUUAAUGCUAUUGCAGAUGUCCUUGUAAUGUAGUGGACUACUUACUUCUUGGAAUCAAUAUGGAGUUGAUUUUAUCAUAAUAGUCCAAUAAUUUUGUCGUAUAGUUCUUCAAUUUCACUGAAUUGGUCUGGUAGUAAUGGCAAGACCAUUAAUUGUUUGGCAAUGUUUUUAGCCAAGAGAUACUCUCUUAUUAUAUAUGUAAGGCCCAAACUUCUUGCUUGUUUUUUCCACUGCCUAAGUAAUUAAUGAAAAUAAUACAUACAAAUAUACAUAAACCAGCAGCGCUGCUGAUGACAAUGUGGAAAAACUGCAUUAAUUACACACAUUGACUCUGUAUCAUAAUCUAAGAUUGAGCAAGCUGUCAAAUGUCAGGCCCAAAUAGCAGACAGUAUUGCUGAAAUUCAGCUGAUUCCAUUAAUUGAAAGUUUAGGCUGUUUAUAGUCUCUUCUGAGCAUUUCUGGCGAAAAUCCAGGCACGUUGUUUUUUCAGUACAGAAAUAUUGUGGAUUUCAUCCUAGGUGUUCCAGGAAGGUCCUCAAUAUCCAUUCAUAGUUUUGUUUGUCUCAUUUUGAGAUUAGGACAUAUAAGAUUGGGAUAAACUAAAAAUUCUGAAUUAACAACAAUCUAACUCAAAUUAUUCUUAGAAAACAAAAAAAAAGCAAUAGAAAAAAUUAUUUUACAGCUAAAAUGAUUUAUUAUACUCACGCAUUGUCAAUGUACACAGUUCCUUCUCCAUCAGAUAGUAAUACACUGCAACUUUCAUUUCUGUAAAAACAACUAGUAUUAGUAUACAGUAGUUGCCGCUUAAUGUGAUCGGGUUGGGACGGAGUGGUUGCUAUUCUAUUAACCGAAUCAUUCCAAUAAACGAAAAAUUAAAAAAAGAUGAUUUAUUGAACUUGUAUACUGUACUACAAUAAUGGUACCUAAAAACGUACAAAAAGUGGAAAUUUUUUGGUGAAAAGCAAGAAUGACAAUUUUAGCAAAAAACAGAACUUAAUUGGCAAAAAAAUGGUACUUUUUGAUAAUUUCUGAAAAAUACGCAAGGCUUUUGAUAAUUUUUGGAAAAAGUGAAAUUCUUUAGCAAUUGCGAGAAUUUAUUCAAAAAGCAAAAAUGUGGCAAUUUUGGGAACUAUUGGCAAAGAAAUGACACUUUUUCAUAACUGUUUUCAAAAAAUGAGAAUUUUUUUGCAAUUUUUGGCGAUUUUAAAUUUAAAAAAGAGCUAAAAAGAUGGACUUCUUGACAAUUUUUGGCAAAAUGCAAGAUCUUUGAAUAAUUUCACCAAAAAACAAGAGGUUUUUGCAAUCUUUGUUGAAAAUGGGAGAUUUUUUUUCAAUUAUUUGGUUAAAAAACGAGACUUUUUGUUUGUUUGUUUUCUUUUUUGACAAAAAAUAUUUCUAUUUCAUUGAUUUUUCCUACUUUUUGAAAAAUUUUCCAUUCCAUUAACCGAAUUUAUUCACCUUUGAUUACCACAUAAAGCGAAAUUCUUUCAAUGUAAAAAGAUACAACCGUUCCGUCCCAACGACUUCCCAUUCUAUUAAGCGAAUUAUUCUAAUAACCGCAAUGAUAAUAAGCGGCAACUACUGUAUUUUCAAACUAUCUAGUUAGGCCUAUCAGAAAUCAUAUUUUACAGCUAAAAUGAUUUACACUCUUAAGUAAAAAUGUGAUGCAAGGGAAGAAGGAACAUGAUACAUAUAAUAUAUCAAAUCAAAUCAAAUGACUUAAUCAUAUAUUUAAAGAAAUGAAUCGAAGACAUAAUACUUUCAAGAUGAAUGAUUUCUAUUAACAAGUAAUUUAUAUAGAGACUAUAUUAUGCAUUCAACACAACAAGCACAAUGAGUACAUAAUAAACUAAAAAGUAAAACAUAAUAAGUAGAAGCAGUGUUACCACCACUUGACUACUUGAAAGUAUAAUGGAGUAUUAUAUACAUCUUAACACUUGUAAAACUUCUUCUCUGUGAAGUAAUUUUUUUUAAUGCAAUGGUAAACUUUAAACAACUUUCCCAGGCUUGAGAAGUGAGUUUUUCAAACUUUUUUUUACAUUUUAUAGUAGUAUAUGGGGCGCUAUAGCACACGCCAGAGCCAUAGUGUUUUUUCCCACAUGCUGUUGCGGAGAUUGCAAAGUGUUUGGACCCAUAUACCACUACUGCAUUUUUUUAAAAUUAAAAAUUUUUUUAAAUGUUUUUUUUUGAAAAAACACGACACACAUUUACUUGGGAAAAAAUUUAUUUGAAUAAAAAAAAGUACAAAAAAAUUAAUUUUAUAAAUUUUGAAAAAGUUUUAAAAAAUUGACAAAAAUGUCAUUCAAAUAAUUUCUUUUGAAUGUUAUCGCUUCUGCGACACAAUGGUGUACUUGGUUGCCUCUGAGCCCACAGUGUCUUUGGUGGAACAGGGGUCGAAGUUGCAAAGGAUAUGCUUCAAAAAACAAAUGAAAAAAACCAAUGGUAUACUUCGUUGUCUAGGAGUCCAUGGUGUCUUUGGUGGAACAGGGGUCGAAGUUGCAAAGGAUAUGCUUUGAAAAACAAACAAAAAAACACAAGAAAAUUAAUUGUUCAAAAAAAAAAUGAACUGAGGGGAUUGCAAAAAUUAAAAAAAAAAUCAACUUACUCUCCGAAAUUUCUGCUCAUGUUGUUCAGCCUUACA